rnacentral:rRNA from 1 species
GGAAAUCUCACCAGGCCCGGACACUGGAAGGAUUGACAGAUUGAUAGCUCUUUCUUGAUUCGGUGGGUGGUGGUGCAUGGCCGUUCUUAGUUGGUGGAGCGAUCUGUCUGGUUAAUUCCGAUAACGAACGAGACCCCAACCUGCUAACUAGCCCUCGGGUCCUGCUUCUGUUGGGCCCGACGGAAUGAUUCGCUUCUUAGAGGGACUGGCGACUCUUAGUCGCACAAGAUUGAGCAAUAA